rnacentral:rRNA from 1 species
AUUGAACGCUGGCGGCAGGCUUAACACAUGCAAGUCGAGCGAGCGGCGGACGGGUGAGUAAUGUCUGGGAAACUGCCUGAUGGAGGGGGAUAACUACUGGAAACGGUAGCUAAUACUGCAUACCAUAGGAUGUGACCAGAUGGGAUUAGCUAGUCGGUGGGGUAAUGGCUCACCUAGGCGAAGCUCCCUAGCUGGUCUGCGAGGAUGACCGGCCACACUGGAACUGAGACACGGUCCAAACUCCGACGGGAGGCAGCAGUGGGGAAUAUUGCACAAUGGGCGCAAGCCUGAUGCAGCCAUGCCGCGUGUGUGAAGAAGGCCUUCGGGUUGUAAAGCACUUUCAGCGGGGAGGCGUUACUCGCAGAAGAAGCACCGGCUAACUCCGUGCCAACAGCCGCGGUAAUUC